CGCAAGCCUGACGGAGCAAGACCGCGUGCGGGAUGACGGCCUAAUGGUUGUAAACCGCUUUUCUCUGGGAAGAUGAUGACGGUACCAGAGGAAUCAGCCUCGGCUAACUCCGUGCCAGCAGCCGCGGUAAUACGGAGGAGGCAAGCGUUAUCCGGAAUUAUUGUGCGUAAAGCGUCCGUAGGUGGUUAUUCAAGUCUGCUGUCAAAGCGUGGGGCUUAACUCCAUAGAGGCAGUGGAAACUGGAUGACUUGAGUGCGGUAGGGGUCGAGGGAAUUCCCAGUGUAGCGGUGAAAUGCGUAGAGAUUGGGAAGAACACCAGUGGCGAAGGCGCUCUACUGGGCCGUAACUGACGCUGAGGGACGAAAGCUAGGGGAGCG
rnacentral:rRNA from 1 species